UCCAAUGUGGUGUAGUGGCUAACAUUGCUGUCUUUCAUAUCGUUCUUUCCUUGUUCCACAGCAGCCCGGGGUUCGAUUCCCCGCAUUGGAA